GAUGAACGCUGACAGAAUGCUUAACACAUGCAAGUCUACUUGAUUCUACUUCGGUAGUUGAUGGUGGCGGACGGGUGAGUAACGCGUAAAGAAUCUGCCCUUUAGUUUGGGAUAACCUUUGGAAACGAAGGCUAAUACCGGAUAUUAUGGAGACGUCGCAUGGCGACUCCAUGAAAGCUAUAUGCGCUAGAGGAGGACUUUGCGUCCCAUUAGUUAGUUGGUGAGGUAAUGGCUCACCAAGACCGCGAUGGGUAGCCGGCCUGAGAGGGUGAUCGGCCGCAAGGGAACUGAGACACGGUCCUUACUCCUACGGGAGGCAGCAGUGGGGAAUAUUGGACAAUGGGCCACAUGCCUGAUCCAGCAAUUCUGUGUGCACGAUGAAGGUCUUCGGAUUGUAAAGUGCUUUCAGUAGGGAAGAAAAAAAUGACGGUACCUACAGAAGAAGCGACGGCUAAAUAUGUGCCAGCAGCCGCAGUAACAC
rnacentral:rRNA from 1 species